UCAGAAACUACAUGCGUACAGAUCAAGGGGCUGCCUUAUGAAGUCACUGAGGGGCGUUGCUGAACAAACCGGAUGUGGGUGAAGCAAUAUAAGUAAGGGCAACGUGUGAUUGCUGCACUGGUGUUGCUUUUGUCGACAUGGUUGUGGCUAUCUACCUGUGCAGGAGGCCACAUAUAAAGAUGUGUCGAAACUAUGGCCACAUCCUGCAUUUGAUUGAACGAUGAACAACCAGACUAAGGAACUAAAGUAAAACUUGUCAAGAAAUGAAGUGAGUGCACCUUUUCCAGCUUGAUAACUAAUGGCACAAAUAUCAAGGUGUUAAAACUCUGUAGAAGAACUGAAGAGCUCAUCCAUGGAAACCUGAAGCUGUGUAGUACUGGUUAUUCACCAGUGAGCCUAAAUGCAUAUAAUGGGUUGCAAUUAUCUUGCAGUCUUGUAUCAACUGCAGGUAUAAAUCUGGAUGAUCUUCCUGACCUAAAGCUGAUUUUGGCUGCCGGGAUAGCCAGUUUUUCCCAAGGUAGACAGACCCAGCUGAAUCCACAAAGGGAUACCAGGAGCCUGAAAAUAGAUUUGCACUACAGUGCAGCCUAUCUUGAUCCAACUACCUUGCCUGGCUGCAUUAAGAGAAUUCAUCCAAAAAACGGCUAACCUGAAAUGACGGGGCUGUCCUAGGAAAAGUGUAGCAUGGGUUAUUCUUUGUUGAAUGACUUUCCACAUGUAUAGAGUACUGUAAAACAGUGUUCUGCAUUUCCCUCUUAGUUCCAUUUAUUUUAUACUUUUGUUUUAGUCUAAAUGAGUUUUUGGUCGAUGCCCCAGUUCUGGCUGGUGGAAUAUGCUGGUUUAUGAUAAUGCAGAAUUUCUGAAUUUAAAUAUUUCUAAUAAAAGUUACUUUAUACUC